rnacentral:rRNA from 1 species
GUUGAACGCUGGCGGCAUGCCUUACACAUGCAAGUCGAACGGUAACAGGUCUUCGGAUGCUGACGAGUGGCGAACGGGUGAGUAAUACAUCGGAACGUGCCUAGUAGUGGGGGAUAACUACUCGAAAGAGUGGCUAAUACCGCGUGAGAUCUACGGAUGAAAGCAGGGGAUCGCAAGACCUUGUGCUACUAGAGCGGCCGAUGGCAGAUUAGGUAGUUGGUGGGAUAAAAGCUUACCAAGCCGACGAUCUGUAGCUGGUCUGAGAGGACGAUCAGCCACACUGGGACUGAGACACGGCCCAGACUCCUACGGGAGGCAGAAGUGGGGAAUUUUGGACAAUGGGCGAAAGCCUGAUCCAGCAAUGCCGCGUGCAGGAUGAAGGCCUUCGGGUUGUAAACUGCUUUUGUACGGAACGAAAAGCCCCGGGUUAAUACCCUGGGGUCAUGACGGUACCGUAAGAAUAAGCACCGGCUAACUACGUGCCAGCCGCCGCCGUAA